CCUACGGGGUGCUGCAGUGAGGAAUAUUGGUCAAUGGCCGCAGGGCUGAACCCGCCAAGUCGCGUGAGGGAUGACGGUCCUAUGGAUUGUAAACCUCUUUUGUCAGGGAGCAAAGGGCGCCACGUGUGGCGCUUUGCGAGUACCUGAAGAAAAAGCAUCGGCUAACUCCGUGCCAGCAGCCGCGGUAAUACGGAGGAUGCGAGCGUUAUCCGGAUUUAUUGGGUUUAAAGGGUGCGCAGGCGGAAUGUCAAGUCAGCGGUAAAAUUUCGGGGCUCAACCCCGUCGUGCCGUUGAAACUGGCGUUCUUGAGUGAGCGAGAAGUAUGCGGAAUGCGUGGUGUAGCGGUGAAAUGCAUAGAUAUCACGCAGAACUCCGAUUGCGAAGGCAGCAUACCGGCGCUCAACUGACGCUCAUGCACGAAAGCGUGGGUAUCGAACAGGAUUAGAUACCCGAGUAGUC
rnacentral:rRNA from 1 species